rnacentral:rRNA from 1 species
GUGAGGAAUAUUGGACAAUGGAUGGAAAUCUGAUCCAGCCAUGCCGCGUGCAGGAAGACGGCCCUAUGGGUUGUAAACUGCUUUUAUACGGGAGCAAUAAGGUCUAUGCAUAGAUUGAUGAGAGUACCGUAUGAAUAAGCAUCGGCUAACUCCGUGCCAGCAGCCGCGGUAAUACGGAGGAUGCGAGCGUUAUCCGGAUUUAUUGGGUUUAAAGGGUGCGUAGGCGGCUUUGUAAGUCAGCGGUGAAAUUUUGCAGCUUAACUGUAAAAGCGCCGUUGAUACUGUGCAGCUAGGAGUUGGUUGCUGUGGGCGGAAUGUGUGGUGUAGCGGUGAAAUGCAUAGAGAUCACACAGAAUAUCGAUUGCGAAGGCAGCUCACAAAGCCAAUAUUGACGCUGAGGCACGAAAGUGUGGGGAUCAAACAGGAUUAGAAACCCUGGUAGUCC